GGGAAUAUUGGACAAUGGGCGCAAGCCUGAUCCAGCCAUGCCGCGUGAGUGAUGAAGGCCCUAGGGUUGUAAAGCUCUUUCACCGGUGAAGAUAAUGACGGUAACCGGAGAAGAAGCCCCGGCUAACUUCGUGCCAGCAGCC
rnacentral:rRNA from 1 species